UGCGUAGGCGGCAGAUCAAGCCAGGGGUGAAAGGCUGUGGCUCAACCAUGGUAAGCCUUUGGAACUGGUCAGCUUGAGUGCAGGAGAGGAAAGCGGAAUUCCUAGUGUAGCGGUGAAAUGCGUAGAUAUUAGGAGGAACACCCGUGGCGAAGGCGGCUUUCUGGACUGUAACUGACGCUGAGGCACGAAAGCGUGGGGAGCGAACA
rnacentral:rRNA from 1 species